AGCUGACCCAUGUAGCGUUCAAAAAUAACUCAGUAAUUCGCAUGGUUCACACACUCGUGGCUUAACUUUCUUGGGGUCUUCUGGAUACCAACUUUGACCUGCAGCUUCAUAGACUUCCUAAAUUCUUUCCGGUUAGUUAACCUGUUGCAGAAAUAGUAUAUUGCCUCAUAAAACAAAGGUCAAUGACAUGCCUCCAUGAACCCUGAGCACAUAAUUUUACAUUUUAGAAGGCUGUUAUUUAACAUGUAGUCUUUUGGGUUUUUUUUUUCCUUUUGUUAAUUUAAGAGUUAGCAUCAAGGCUGGGAAGUGGCUAGCGAUAAAGAGCAUUUGCCUAACUAGAGUGUUACUUCCCUGAUAUGGGAAGUGGGGGGGGGGGUGGCUUGAAAGUGUGUUAUCUGUGUUGAAAUUUUUACUAUCUGUAGUAUGUAAUACACUUUUUAUAUAGUUGAAUAUGUUCAUUUUACAGUGCUUUCCUGUCCUUGGGUUCAUUUUCCAGCACUCAUAAAUCAGUGCUUCCAGCCCUGGGAAGGUAGAAGCUAGAGGGUCGGAAAUUUAAGGUCAUCCUUGGCUACUUUUGAGGCUAGCCUGGGAUAAAUGAGACUAGGGGUAUCUGCCAGCCUGAUCUACAGAGUGAGCUCCAGAACAGCUGGGUCUACGCAGUGCAACCCUGUCUCAAAAAAACAAAACAAAACAAAAAACAGACUCUGACCUUUCUAAAUUUUUUAUAAACAUGAAAUAAAAAUGUAAGGAUUUAAUUUUUUAAGCAUUUCCAGCAAAUAUAAUAUUCUCUACUCAGUAUUUAUUUGGUUUUGGUUAUUUGUUUGUUUUUGAGACAGUCAUGCUUUCUAGUCCAGGCUAGACUGGAAUUUAUAAUCCUCCUGCUUCAGUCUUAACUAUUCUAUCUUAUUAGCAUUAGCACUGUUAUUUUUAAAGGUCCAUUAAAACAAAAAGUGUGGCUGAUAUUGGUCUAUUUCCUCUCCCAACUUCACCCUGUAUUAUAGCUAAACAAAUAAUUAUCCAUUUGGUUCUUAAAAUAUAUUUCAAAGGAAAAAAAGGAUUCUAUCCUAAUGCAUAAAUGUUUUCAUAGGAUUAAAAGAAUACCAUACUAUACUAUUUUCUUGUUUUAAUGUUACCCUCAUUGUAUGGGUAAUGAGAAGAUGUGGAGGGUUCUGGUUAGCCAAUGCCUUAGACUCUUCCAAAGAUUGCUGACAAGUCUAUAAAAUACACAGGACACAGAAACAUAUAGCUUACUCUAUACCAUAGGAAAUGGAACCUUGUAUCCAAGCCCCAAAACUUGGAAAUGUACAAACCAUUUUUUCUACAUCUUUAGAGCAGGAGGGAGCCCACUGGCACUCAUUCUGCUUCUGGUCACGUUGGGUGCAUGUGUGGAGAUUGAACCCAGGACCAUGUUCUUGCUAGCCGAAUCCUCUACAGUUGAGCUAACCCCACUAGCCACUGUGACCCUAUUUCAUGCGGUCUUUUGUGUCAUUUGGAGGAUGAAAACUUGCCUUUUUAAAGUCAGUCACAUUUGUAUUUGUAUUCUUACCACAUUCUUUUUUAAAAUAUUAGUUUUUCUUCUGGUAACGCAUCACCCCAAGUCCCUCCAAACACUUCACCACAAACUUCCUCUGUAAUCGUGGCUAUGGGCAUGAUGUUUGCAUGACUUUAGGAAAUCAAAACUCUACCCUGUUUGUUUUCCUUUUUUAAGAAAUUAAAAACUACCUGCUUACACAGCAUUUUUUUCCCUAACUUUAGAAGCCCUCUUACCGUUUCUGUACUGGGGGAAAAAGUCACUUUCUCAUUCCAUUGCUAACAAAGCAACAGUUUAGCUUGUGGCCAAGUAAAAGGUCCCUAAGAGAUGCUGCUGUUAUUUCAAGGCUAUAUUCACACUCUUAUCUUUAGAAGUAACAUUUUAGAAGACUAUGUUAAUGUAUUGGUUAGAAAGCUGUAUCGAUGAGUUAAAGAUAAACCUUAAAAAAUAAUCUCCCUAAGUCAUAUUUCAAAUAUUUUGAGUCAGAAAUUUGCCACCAUUCUCAGAAUAGAUGGUUCUGGUUUGUGUUUGUGUUGGGGGAAGAGAGCCUGCAGGUAACAACAUGCCACAGGAUGUAUGUGACAGUCAGAGGACACGCUUCUGAUAUCAGUUCUGGGGUGUCUAGCUAGCCCUGGAGCCUCUGGGGAGUCUCCUGUCUCUAUUUCUCAUUUCCUGUGGGCUCACUGGGAUUAGACACCAGUGCUACAGGGUCCAGCUUUUAGUCUAUUUUUACUCAAGUUUUUUAUUAAAAAAAAAAAUUCAAAUGGGAGGGAGGGGACAACUCAACCAUUAAAGUUCUAGUCACACAAGCAUGAGGACCUGUAGUCAAUUCCCAACUAACUCACAUUUAAAAAGAUCAUGCCUGACAUAGAGCCAGUGAGAUGGCUCAGCAAGGAAAAGCACUUACUGCCUAAAGGCCCAAGUUCAAUCCCUGGGGCCUACAUGCUGGAAGGAGAGAACUCACUCCUGCAAGUUGUCCUCUGACCUCCACAUAUGUAUCAUGGCAUACGAACACACACACACAUACAGAGAGAGAGAGAGAGAGAGAGAGAGAGAGAGAGAGAGAAAGCUUUUUAAACAGCCUAUUAGCAUGAUGCACACACUUGUAACCCCAGCACUGGGGCUGUGGAGGCAGUCAGGUCCCUGGGUCUCACUAGCACAUCAGCUUAGCUAGUCAAAUCAUGUGAACCGCAGGUCCUAGUGAGAGACCCUGUCUCAAAACCCAUUAUAAGACAGUUCUGAGGAACAACACCGGAGGUUGGCUUCUGCCUCCACAUGAAUGUACAACUCCCACACACCCACACACGCGUGCAUACACAGGAAAGAUUCUAAUGAUAUAAAUUUGGCUUGGUAUUUGAUGUGAUAGUGGAAAGGCUUUGUUUCCAGGCCACUGAGAAGUAAAUCUGAACAGCCCCAACAAGUGUCCUGUGACACCACAUUGACCUUGGAAGGAAAAAUCCCGAAUACGGUCUUAAAAAGAAGAAAGAAAGAAAAUACUAUACAAAAAAUAUUUUCCCCCAAAAAAAAUAUAUUUUAGAUGUAUUUUAGGUAUAAUGACUAUAUUAUAGAAAUGACUCCAGUGUGUUAGCCAAAAGCAUUUCAUGCUGAAGUGCAACAAGCUCAGAACAGAAUGCCCAAUGUGAGAAAGGAUGCUCUACCCAAGCAGGUUCGUUUCCUUACGUUGCUUUCCUAACCUGAAAGAGGCAUGGGCCUGGGAAGGGCCAGACCCCAGUUUUCACAGAAGAGAUGAUUCACCAAAUACUGACAUUUACAUUAAAGGAAAUGCCUGUGUUUUCUAAGAUUUUGUUGUAAGUUUUCUCAUAUCUUGGAGAGAGUGUGUGGUGUGAGGCUGAGGCGUGCCAGAGGCAGUCUCCUCCCUUUGCUGCCUCCUUCCUCAUUCCUCAUUCCUCGGUCCUCACCCAGACUGAAAGCUCUCUGUACCUCCAUGUCCUCUGUAUUCCAGCUGCUGACAGGGCUGCCGCCUUCCACAGCUCCAGUGUUAGGAAGAAGAAAGAGGCUACAAAGCUUCCGAGUCACUUCCUCUCGGAGGGAACUAUUUGGCCGAGAAUAAUGUUGGCUGCCAUAUUGGAAGAAGGCUCAUGCAUCAACUUCAGGGAAAUGGCAUUUAUUGACAACACACUCUACUUUACACGAGACCUGAAAUCAGACGACUUUGUCAAGAAACGAUCUAAAAUCUGUGUAAUACGAGAUAUGAAUUACCAAGUUCUCUUGGUCAUUGGCAGCGAAAGGCAAGCUGUGUUUGAGGACAUGCCCGAUGCUGACCAACAUGCCAAUCCCCAGACCAGACUGAUAAUACAUUCAUAUACAGAUUGUCACUCAAGGGGAAAGGCUGUAACCCUCUCUGUGAAGCAUGAAAAAAUGUCUAUUCUCUCCUGUAAGGACAAAGGCAUUUCUUUUAAGGAAAUGGAUCCACCUGAAUAUAUCGAUGGUACUAAAAGUGAUCUCAUAUUCUUUCUGAGAAGUGUUCCAGGACACAAUAAGAGGCAAUUUGAAUCUUCAAUGCACGAAGGACACUUUCUAGCUUGUGAAAAAGAGGGUGAUUUUUUCAAACUCACAUUGAAAAAGAAGGAUGAAAAUGGGGAUAAAUCUGUAAUGUUCACUGUUACUGACUUACCUCAGAGUUAGGUAUUAAGCAUUUUUUGUACCAGAAAGAUGACUAGAUUACAUGAGCCUUAUGAUAAUCCAUUCUGUGUAGCCAUAGCAAAAUACCCCAGGCUGCAUAAUUUAUAAAGCAAACAGGUUCAUCUGUCUCACGUGUCUAGUCCAAUUCCUACAUCCUGGUGAAUGGCCCUGGCUGCAUUACAGCAUACAAGAUAAAAGGAAUCAGCUGCAUGUGAAUUAGCACAUGGGUGAGCCUCACUUCACAGCAACUAAUUCUGGAGAGAGGCUUCAGCCCUGUCCAAUGCUGGAAGCCUCAGGAGCUGUGCACCUCCCACCUCUUCUUAAACAUAUCACCACCUCAACACGGUUAUACUGGUGAUCAAGUUUCCAGCAAAUAUAUUCACGUGACAGUGAA